AUUGAACGCUGGCGGCAGGCCUAACACAUGCAAGUCGAGCGGAUGAAGGGAGCUUGCUCCUGGAUUCAGCGGCGGACGGGUGAGUAAUGCCUAGGAAUCUGCCUGGUAGUGGGGGAUAACGUCCGGAAACGGGCGCUAAUACCGCAUACGUCCUGAGGGAGAAAGUGGGGGAUCUUCGGACCUCACGCUAUCAGAUGAGCCUAGGUCGGAUUAGCUAGUUGGUGGGGUAAAGGCCCACCAAGGCGACGAUCCGUAACUGGUCUGAGAGGAUGAUCAGUCACACUGGAACUGAGACACGGUCCAGACUCCUACGGGAGGCAGCAGUGGGGAAUAUUGGACAAUGGGCGAAAGCCUGAUCCAGCCAUGCCGCGUGUGUGAAGAAGGUCUUCGGAUUGUAAAGCACUUUAAGUUGGGAGGAAGGGCAGUAAGUUAAUACCUCGCUGUUUUGACGUUACCAACAGAAUAAGCACCGGCUAACUUCGUG
rnacentral:rRNA from 1 species